rnacentral:misc_RNA from 1 species
AAAUAAAAGUGAAAUUUUUAUAAAUAUGGCACUUUUAAAAAAAUCCAUAUCCACCUUGUGUGCAAUGUAUUUAUGAAAGAAAGAAAGGAGAAGAGAGAGAGCAGUGUUAAUUUACUGCUCUCUCUCGCUCUCUCUCUCUCUCUUUUAUAUUUCUAUAUCAACACUCUUUAUUGCUUUGAAACUGUUUGUCUGAAACUAAUAUUAUUCUUUGAAUAACUUAAUUCAAAAAUA